UAACAGUUGUUUGUUAGAAUAACAAGUACCUGCUCUAAUAAUACCAGAAUUUCUAGCGAAAAGGGGAAAGAACUCUACUGAAAGAUAACCAGCAACAUAAUUAAUAGUGCAAAAUUUGUGAAGAAAUUUGAGUUUGAUUGUUUAUGAAAUCCACAAAAAAACAACAGAAGCCAUGCAUCAUGGAAGAAAAAUUUUCCCUAGGAAUUGAUGGAUUCUGACUCAUGUUGUGAUGAAACCUUGAGGGAGAGCUGGGCUUAUCUAGCGCCAUAUGUUAUAGAAGAAAGGAUAAGUGGAAUAUACUGUACUGAAACUGAUAUUCCAGGGUUACUUGAGUUUAUAUUUAAUCCUUUGACAAAAGAGUUUACAUGAUACUAUUAUCUUUUUCAAGAUAUAUUCAAGAGCAAAACAGUGUAUAUAUAUGGACAUGUGAAAGUACUCCAUGAGUACAUUUUCUACUGUAAUCUCUUGCAAGUCUUCCAUGCUUUGAUACUCAUAAUUACUUCAGCAUACCCUUAUACAUAAUCAGAGAUCUACAAAUUUCUUUAUCCUUGACAUGAGUAUUUUUUUAUGAGAAGAAUUUUAAAAAAUAACAAAAAGAAAGGGUUUUGGUUUGGGACCAACUCCAUUUUUACAGAGGCUGAUCAAAAAGGUUUGAAAUCUUUUGUAUGUAUUACUUCUUCCUAGGUAACAUCUAUAUUGCAAAGGAAUUCAAUUUCAAACCCAGGUGGCUCAAAAAAAAAAAGGUCAAAGGUUCUGCCACUCUCUAUUGAAAAUAAAUGUGGCCAAUGGUGACCAAAAGAACUACAUGUAGUAGAAAAUAUUCAGAAGUCAAGAAAUGCUGUAAAUUUUUGACCAAACAAACUCCAUAAGUAUCCCAGUAUUUUUUAAUACAAUAAUGUUCUAUUCUCAGACAGGUAACACAUAAACAUAACACCCCGAUAUUUUGACAGGUUACAUCACUUGAUGUAUUGAAAAUCUGCAUGAGUUGUCUGUCACAUUUGAGAGAUGUGCUGUUUUUGUGAUAUUCCAGUAUUACGGCUAAAUACAGCAAAUCUUCAACAUCACACCCUGGUAAUGAAAUAUAGUCUGAUAAUAUUGGCUUAAGCCAAUUUUUGGACCCACAUUGCCAAGUUUUCAGUGCUGGUUAUGUAAUUUUAACUGCAGAUGCUGAGCAAACAACUACAAAAUUACCAAAUAACCCACUUCAUUAUAACUGCAGCCAAAGUAUCAGUUUCUAAUGUACCAUUUACCAAUUAUACUCAUUAAUAUAAGCUAGGAGUAUAUUAAUGUAGCAAUGCACAGAACAUUAGGGUUCUCAAUAAAAACAGUUUAACUAUACAUAAACAGUUUUGAUCAAUAUUUCACUGUCACUUUUAAACAUAAAAUGAUAUUUUCUUGACUCAAGUUACUUUCACAAUGCAUAAUAAUUACAGUUCACACCUACCAAUCUAUCUGCUGAAGAAAGUUAUAAUACUUACUCAAAUCACUGUAAUCAUGUAUAUCCCUUUCAAAACCUUUAGCAGACAGCCUACAAAUCAUGCCACAGAAUAACUAGGUCACAACCCCAGAGGACACACCCCUUUCCUGAGAGUUGUUCAGUCUGUCCACUCACCUUUUGUUUGUCAACAAGUUAAAAUUCCAGGGUCUUAUGACAGCUAGGUAUAA